CUUCUGAGGUUAUUGUGAGAACAACCUGGGAUGAUGUAUGUCCAGGGCCUGCCCAGAAAGGGACAGGACAGAACUGUUUCAGUCUGCCUCCAGCCUGCUGUGGGAGGCAGAAGGGUGCAUGGGGGGCAAAGUCUCCAUGUCCCAUUUCUGCUCCUUUAGCCCUGGCACGAAGGGAACCCUAAGUCAGCCCAAGUGAGUUAAAGAUUGGCCAGGUGUGCGUGAGAAGCUCAGGCCAACUUCUGACCACAGGGAGCCAAGCAGGGCAGUGACCUAGGGUGACUGCCGCUGGGCCUUGACUGAGUCUUGGAUUGGCAAAGUAUGGUAGUCUGUUUGUUGCUUAUUGGGGGUCUUUACAAGGGGACAACAGAGGAUGAGAUGGUUGGAUGGCAUCAUCGACUCAAUGGACACAGCUGCGAUUAUUUCCAGAAGGUUGGGGCAAUUCAGCCACUGGAUGAACACUUUGGAAACGAGGUCUGGCUUGUUUUCAUCUCAUCUCUGCUGCUGCUGCUGCUGCUAAGUCGCUUCAGUCAUGUCCGACUCCGUGCGACCCCAUAGACGGCAGCCCACCAGGCUCGCCCGUCCCUGGGAUUCUUCAGGCAAGAACACUGGAGUGGGUCAUCUCAUCUCAGAGAACUGCAAUUUGUGGAAACAUUGGUUGUGAAAUUAAGGCACAUUGGAUGGGAAGAGAGGGCUCUGGAACUAUGGAUGUGAGCAUGAUUCAUGGGGCUGGAAGAUCCCCUGGAGGAGGUCGUGGCAACCCACUCCAGUAUUAUUGCCUGGAGAAUCCCAUGGACAGAGGAGCCUGGCAGGUUAUGGUCCAUGGGCUCACAAAGAGUCAUACAUGACUCAAACAACUUAGCAUACACCUCUUAUUCUGUCAGUCGGCCUUUUUAUUUUGUUGAUGGUUUCCUUUACCAUGAAGAAGUUUUUUAGUUUGGUGUAGUCCUGUUUGUUUAUUUUUGCUUUUGUUCCCACUGCCUUUGGUUUCAAACCCAAAAAAUCACCACCAAGACUAAUAUCAAGGAGCUUACCACUUAUGUUUCCUUCUAGUUUUACGGUUUCAGGUCUUAUGGAUAUAUCUUUGAUCCCUUUUGAAUUAAUUUUUGUGUGUGGUGUAAGACAGCAAUCCAAUUUCAUUCAUUUGCAUUUGACUGUCCUGUUUCCCAACACUGGUUGUUGAAGAGACCACCCUUUCCCCAUUGGAUAUUUUUGACUCCUUUGUCAAAAAUUGAUUGACCAUGUAUGCAUAGAUUUAUUUCUGGGCUCUCUAUUCUGUUCUAUUGUGUCUGUUUUUAGGCCAAUACCAUACUGUUUCGAUGACUAUACCUUUGUAAUACAGUUUGAAAUCAGAGAUGAUGAUGCGUCCAACUGUAUUCUAUCUUCUCAAAGUUGUUUUGGUUAUUUGGGA